CUCUACACCUGCCCUGUGGGGCAUUUUGAAGGCAGGUAGAGUUUCCGAGGACCCUCUUGCAAACAUUGCCUGCUGGUAGUAUGAUGCCCUGGCUCUCAUUUCGGGGCGAUCAGGGAUACGCCUCACCUCAGCCCACAGCCUUAACUCAGGCAAGGCUGGCCUUGCCCAUCUGUAGAGCAGCUUUCAGGGUGGGGCCGUUCAGCUCCUACUAGGACAGCCCAUUGUUUCCUGCAGGAGGGCUCAUGUUAAUGUUUCCCCUGUCUCCCACUGUGUAGACAGCUGUACACCUUUGAUUCUGUGCACAGAGGGUGGAGUGCAGGCAGUGUGAAGAGCACACUUACCCAUAUGCCACGGACUGGGGCACUAGUGAAAAUGUGUGCCAUUAUAGAGGCAGUGUGCCCCACACAGGGGCAGAGGUGGGAAGUGGCUUCUCCCCAGGGAGACAUCCUGGGUGAGGAACCUGUGGCCCUUCACAGUCUGGUCUGCACAGAUGUGGCGGGAGCAGGAUGAGCUCUACUGGAAGUUCAUAGUGGCCAUCCAGGAGGUGAGGCAGAAGACAGACUUCUGGAACCUGGUGCUGGAGUGCCACCUGCAGGCACUGAAUACUGCCAUGGAGAAGAGGGAGGUGUAGUUCACCAAGGCACUGGUGACCUCCAGCAUAGAUCCUGCAGUACUGAGGCUCAUGUCCCGCAAGCUUGAGGUAGACUUAGGGGUUCUUGGGGCAGGGCUGGUGGCUGCCCCCCUCCUACCCACAGUAGGUGGCCUUGUCUCCUGUGGUGGGACCCUUUGGUUCUGUGUUCUGCCCCCUGAGAUAAGCACAGAGGUGACCUCUCAGUUACCCCUGGAGGAGGGUUUCCUGAAACCUGAGAGCAGGGCAAAGGUGCUGCAGGUAUCUGUGCCUCAGGCCUGCGUGUGCCAGCAGUUUCCUUUCAGGGGUUUUGCUUGCUCUUGGGUCUUGCUGACCCCUCCUUAACCUCAUGGCACCUCAUAACCUCUCAGCCUUGCAAUUCCAGUUCUCCAGUGGCUCAUUGUGGUAGGCCAGGCUCCUGUCACCAAGUAGAGCCCAAAGAUGUCCUGGGAACAGAAAAGGUGCUCUUGGAAUCUGUGGGCCCAAGUCCCUCAGUCACUUGAUGAUGGACUUAGACACAGGCCUGGGGGGUGGCCACAGCACUAGGAGGCCCCAGGAUGCUUGGUUUGGUAGGCAUACAGUUAACAAUGGGAAACAUGUAGGCUGUGGGUACCAGGGACUUACAUGUCCCUUACUCUC
rnacentral:lncRNA from 1 species